UUAAGCAAAUUAGUUUUAAUAUCGUGGAGAUUCUCAUAGACUUUCUAUGUCUAACCCAAAAAAUCAGUUAUUUUCGUAGCAGAAUUUUAAGAAGAAAAUUGUUUCCAAGAAUAAUCCAGUAUCGCAUCUGUAAUGUGAUUACAAAUAUUCCUCCACCCCAUUCCCGCAUAGAUUUGAAGGGUUUAAUCCUAACCUCUAUGAUCUGCUUCAACGAUUACAUAUAUUUUGCGUUCUAUUACCCCUUAUUGCAGGUCAUCUCUGCUUCCAAGAAGAGAAACCACCAUCGAUUUCUACUUAUGGUUUGCAGGUUAUUUCUUUGCUAAUCCACUUAAAAUGUUUGUUUUUCUCUCUAAUUGUUCAGUUUCUUUUCUCCUUUACCCAUUUUUAAUCUUGAUGCUUGAGCUUGGGUUUGAAGAAUGUUUUUAAUUGUUUUAUAGUUGGUCUUUAUUAAGAUGCACACCAUGUGUUAGAUGGAAUGCCUUAAUGAAACUGGUCCCCUUUUGAACCUUUCAAACCACUUAAUUUCUCUUCCUAAUAAUGAGAUAUGACCGUUUGAAACAACUAGAGUGAGAUGCAUCCCUUUUUUUGAUGGAAAACGUUAAUGAAUCUGAUCUCUACUAAUAGACUUAAGAGAGCAUGUCUAAAAUUGCUAUUUAGCAACAUGUGUAUGAUGAAAUUUGAACUUGAGCAAAAGGCAACACAAACAACAAUGAUGAUAUAAGGUAUGUAUGAAGGAAACGGACCAACAAGGAUUAACCAUAGCAACCACCUGUAAUUUCACCUCAGUUAAGGUUUGAAUACAUCAAAGCUGGGAGAAAGGGAACUCAAUGUUGCUACCGAGGCGUGCAUAUUGUUCCGUUCCAACCCUAGCACAUCUAUUUCUUUUUUGCGGCCUUCUUUAGCAACCUGUCGGAGUUGUAGAAGACAACCGGAGAGAAGAAAGGCUGGAAGGUCUAAGGCAUAUUACGCGUUUGGUAAGUCUAUUAUGUCCCUGUUUCUUAUUCUAUCUUCUACCUGUCGGAGUUCUAGAAGACAACCAACGAGAAGAGAUGUCCGCUCCUUUUUUGCAACAGCUCUUCUGCUUCGUUUUCCCUCCACGAAUCGUAAAUGGCAUCUCAGGAAUGGCUGGAAGAAGGCGUUGAAGACCUUGAUAUUCUUUUAGAAUAUGUAUAAUUAUAUUAAAAUGUAUAAGGAUUUUAGUCUGUAAGAAUAUAUAUAUGAAUUUGUAUUUAAGUUCGGAUGUAUAAGAAUAUAUUAGAAUGUUUGUUAUUUUUCA